rnacentral:rRNA from 1 species
GACGAACGCUGGCGGCGUGCUUAACACAUGCAAGUCGAGCGGUAAGGCCCUUUCGGGGGUACACGAGCGGCGAACGGGUGAGUAACACGUGGGUGACCUGCCCUCAGCUCUGGGAUAAGCCUGGGAAACUGGGUCUAAUACUGGAUAUGACUCCACGGUGCAUGUCGUGGGGUGGAAAGCCUUGUGCGGCUGAGGAUGGGCCCGCGGCCUAUCAGCUUGUUGGUGGGGUGAUGGCCUACCAAGGCGACGACGGGUAGCCGGCCUGAGAGGGCGACCGGCCACACUGGGACUGAGACACGGCCCAGACUCCUACGGGAGGCAGCAGUGGGGAAUCUUGCGCAAUGGGCGAAAGCCUGACGUAGCGACGCCGCGUGAGGGAUGACGGCCU